rnacentral:sRNA from 1 species
CAAUUAUAUUAGCAGACAUGAAAUCGCGCCUCCCGCGAUGAAUGCAUAAGCUUGGAUGGU